rnacentral:misc_RNA from 1 species
AAGUCGUAACAAGGUUUCCGUAGGUGAACCUGCGGAAGGAUCAUUAUCGAUUUUUAAAGAUGUGCUGGCACUCCUUCACCGGUUUGCAUGUGCACUCUGCAAAAUCUCCUUCUCUUACCCCACUGUGCACACCCAAGUAGACAAACAGAGUUACAGAGAAAUCUGUGUAAUUCCUGAUUUGCCUAUGUUUUUAUCAAACACCAAUGACAAUCUCAGAAUGAUCUAUGUAGUAAGCUUUUAACAAGCUGAAAUUUAAUACAACUUUCAACAAUGGAUCUCUUGGUUCUC